UGAGUGUUAAGACAUCCUAGUCUGAACAUUCGGGUCAUAGACUUGUUAAAUUUUCUACCGAUGGCGUUGGCCAAACUGCCGGGAUGCUUCGGUCUCACCGAAUUAAAAAAGGGUUACUUCCCGCAUCUCUUUAACUCGCGAGAAAACCAAAAUUAUGUCGGACCGCUGCCUGGGCCCGGUACUACAGCCCGGAUACCAUGAGCACUUCAGCCCGACAAGCAUUUCUGUCCUGGCAUGAAGCACACAAGGGGACGUGUUUAACUUUCAAGAUGAGAUGCUGGCCUAUUGCAGAUCGGACGUGGACAUUCUUCGCCGUUGCUGCCUGGAGUUUCGAGCCCAGUUUUUGGAUGUGGCGAAUGUGGAUCCAUUCCAGUAAGUCAUUUUCUCAUUUUCUUAUACAAUAAUAAUCAUAUUUACAGUUCAUUAAAUCGUUCUUAUUUUUGUCUUUUCAGAUACGUGACCAUUGCGUCAGCCUGUAUGGCAACGUAUCGGAGUGGCCACAUUCAACCCGACACGAUUGCCAUGGUGCCUACACACGGCUACAACUCAACGAAUUACAGCCCUGAUUCGAUCCGAUGGUUGGACUUUGUUGCUGCUUCGGAAGGCCUACAGAUUCAACAUGCGUUGAACGGUUCCGGAGAGCACAGAGUCGCCGGAAUCUCGGUAGACGGAUUCUGCCAAGAAACACAAACCGUCUAUCAGUUUCAGGGCUGUUUCUUUCACG